rnacentral:lncRNA from 1 species
UCUCGGCCCGCUGCAACCUCUGCCUCCCAGGUUCAAGUGAUUCUCCUGCCUCUGCCUCCCGAAUAGCUGGAAUUACAGGUUUCGCCAUGUUGGCCAGGCUGGUAUCCAACUCUUGACCUCAAGUGAUCUGCCCACCUCAGCCUCCCAAAGUGCUGGAAUUACAGGCGUGAGCCACAGCGUGCGGCACCAGCAUUCUUAUAAGAAAAGAGAAAUGGACGCAGAGGUACACAGAGAGAACACCAUGUGAAGACAGAGGCAGAGAUUGGAGUCGUUCUCAUCUACAAAGCUGAAGAAUUCCAAGGAUUGCCACUAAUCACCAGAACCCAAGAGGGGAGCAAGGAACAGAUUCUCCCUCAGAGCCUCAAAAAAGAAACCAACCCAGUGAACACCUUGAUUUCUGACUUCUGAACUCCAGAAUCACAAGAGAACACAUUUCUCUUGUUUUAAGUCACCCGAUUUGCGAAUUUGCUAUACUUCCUUUUGGCAACCAUGGGAAACAAACACAGUCGCUAAGAAGGUGUCUCGCUCUCAGAUUUUAUCAGCUAUCCUCACUGCUCUGGACCUAGGCUCUAGGAGACAGUUUGGAAAGGAGAGACGGCGGCUGGGUGAGAGGACAGAGGGCUUGGGAGCCUGGGGGUGGCAUCACAGGAUUUCUCCGCGUCACCUUGGUCGGUGACAUGGUUUCCUGAGCAUGUGCGUCAGCCCUUGGAGAUGUCCAGCGUAAGUCAAAGCCUUUGUUCCCUACGAUAACCUUGAGAGAUGACUCAGUAGAGAAGAAGGCAGGCUGUGGGGUGGGGGAAAUGGUCAGUGCAGCUACAAAUGAGAGCCUGUUCCUGGCUCAAGGGGAGGACAAGGCAGAAAAACAACAACAGUAAUUACCAUUCCCUGUUGUUUCCCUGGACCGACCUCCCCUCGUCCUCCACCCGGAUGAUCCUGAGGCCUAACUCUCCUCUCUGUCCUCACCCUGCACCCAUUCUUCCCCACCAUCUGUUUUAUUAUUUUUUUAAUUCCACUUUAUGGAGAAAUAUAACUUACAUA